rnacentral:rRNA from 1 species
UGAGGAAUAUUGGUCAAUGGGCGAGAGCCUGAACCAGCCAAGUAGCGUGCAGGAAGACGGCCCUAUGGGUUGUAAACUGCUUUUAUAUGGGGAUAAAGUGAGUUACGUGUAGCUUAUUGCAGGUACCAUAUGAAUAAGGACCGGCUAAUUCCGUGCCAGCAGCCGCGGUAAUACGGAAGGUCCAGGCGUUAUCCGGAUUUAUUGGGUUUAAAGGGAGCGUAGGCCGCCCCUUAAGCGUGUUGUGAAAUGCCGCGGCUCAACCGUGGCACUGCAGCGCGAACUGGGGGGCUUGAGUGCACGCAACGCAGGCGGAAUUCGUGGUGUAGCGGUGAAAUGCUUAGAUAUCACGAAGAACUCCGAUUGCGAAGGCAGCUUGCGGGAGUGCGACUGACGCUGAAGCUCGAAGGUGCGGGUAUCGAACAGG